UGAAGAAAAUCUAUGAUGAUAAGUCUCCUGAGAACUUGCUUUGACAACCUCUGCUCUUUCUUCUUGCCUGGCAUAGCCAUGAUAAGGUUCAUAACGGUCA
rnacentral:snoRNA from 1 species